ACUAUUCUUUGGUUCCUGACUUAGUGUAAGUACAAUACAUAGUCCCCAGUGUGAGUACUAACACAGGGGCAGUCUACUAGAUCCUAGGUCACUCAACUGGAUCCUCCCUGGUUAGGAGUACUAUUCCUUAGUUCCUGACUUAGUGUAAGUACAAUACAUAGUCUCCAGUGUGAGUACUAACACAGGGGCGGUCUACUGGAUCCUAGAUCACUCUACUGGAUCCUCCCAGGUUAGGAGUACUAUUCCUUAGUUCCUGACUUAGUGUAAGUACAAUACAUAGUCCCCAUGUGAGUACUAACACAGGGGCGGUCUACUGGAUCCUAGGUCACUCUACUGGAUCCUCCCAGGUUAGGAGUACUAUUCCUUAGUUCCUGACUUAGUGUAAGUACAAUACAUAGUCCCCAGUGUGAGUACUAACACAGGGGCAGUCUACUAGAUCCUAGGUCACUCUACUGGAUCCUCCCAGGUUAGGAGUACUAUUCCUUAGUUCCUGACUUAGUGUAAGUACAAUACAUAGUCCCCAGUGUGAGUACUAACACAGGGGCGGUCUACUGGAUCCUAGGUCACUCUACUGGAUUCUCCCAGGUUAGGAGUACUAUUCUUUGGUUCCUGACUUAGUGUAAGUACAAUACAUAGUCCUCAGUGUGAGUACUAACACAGGGGCAGUCUGCUGGAUCCUAGGUCACUCUACUGGAUCCUCCCAGGUUAGGAGUACUAUUCUUUGGUUCUUGACUUAGUGUAAGUACAAUACAUAGUCCCCAGUGUGAGUACUAACACAGGGGUGGUCUACUGGAUCCUAGGUCACUCUACUGGAUCCUCCCAGGUUAGGAGUACUAUUCCUUAGUUCCUGACUUAGUGUAAGUACAAUACAUAGUCCCCAGUGUGAGUACUAACACAGGGGCGGUCUACUGGAUCCUAGGUCACUCUACUGGAUUCUCCCAGGUUAGGAGUACUAUUCUUUGGUUCCUGACUUAGUGUAAGUACAAUACAUAGUCCCCAGUGUGAGUACUAACACAGGGGCAGUCUGCUGGAUCCUAGGUCACUCUACUGGAUCCUCCCAGGUUAGGAGUACUAUUCCUUAGUUCCUGACUUAGUGUAAGUACAAUACAUAGUCCCCAGUGUGAGUACAAACACAGGGGCGGUCUACUGGAUCCUAGGUCACUCUACUGGAUUCUCCCAGGUUAGGAGUACUAUUCUUUGGUUCCUGACUUAGUGUAAGUACAAUACAUAGUCCCCAGUGUGAGUACUAACACAGGGGCAGUCUGCUGGAUCCUAGGUCACUCUACUGGAUCCUCCCAGGUUAGGAGUACUAUUCUUUGGUUCCUGACUUAGUGUAAGUAUUAUACAUAG